rnacentral:rRNA from 1 species
UUUAUUGGAGAGUUUGAUCCUGGCUCAGGAUGAACGCUGGCGGCGUGCCUAAUACAUGCAAGUCGAGCGAAUGGAUUAAGAGCUUGCUCUUAUGAAGUUAGCGGCGGACGGGUGAGUAACACGUGGGUAACCUGCCUAUAAGACUGGGAUAACUCCGGGAAACCGGGGCUAAUACCGGAUAACAUUUUGAACUGCAUGGUUCGAAAUUGAAAGGCGGCUUCGGCUGUCACUU